CAGAACAAACUAAAAAGGGGGAUAUUAUCGUUUAUUCUAGAAGAAAGAAACUGGUAGAGGAUAUAGAGCAGUGACUUCCAGCCCUGAGCAUAACCAAGUAUCAACCCCGAACAAAGGUUUCAACAGACAAUCUGACUACAUUGGAAGUGAUGCAACUACAGACGAUCGUCCAAUGGGACUAAGAAAAGGGGUAAGAUCAUGCACAAACCAUCCUUUAUGUAAUUUUGUAUCAUAUGCAAGGUUAUCACCUCAAUUUCAGGCAUUUGUUACGAGUCUAGAUAGGACUCAUUUUCCCAAGUCAAUUCAGGGAGCAUUAGUAGUCCAGGUUGGAAGACAGCUAUAUUGGAAGAAAUGAAGGCCCCAAAGAAACAUGGUGCAUAAGAACUCACAAAAUUACUAGAAGGAAAAUAGACAGUAGGUUACAAGCAGAUCUUCGCUGUAAGUACAAAGUCGACGAGAGUUGACAGCGCAUGCAGCUCUCGUGGACUUUAUACUUGUGGAAAAAAUUCAGAACUGUGAAGUUUGGUUUUGCAAGUAAUGGGUGCUUUUCUAUAAGGGUAGAGGCACUUUUGGCUCUAGUCUGUGGACUUAGAAGAUAAGAGAAUUUAAUGGUAUUAUGAACUUCUCAACGUUUUAGGUUGGCAAUUGAAGGAGGAUCCAGUUUUAGCUUGACCUCUGCUCUGGCAUUUGCAUCUUUCCCUUCUUAAUCUCUCUUGGGUGAUGUGGCGCUCUAUUGAGGAAAUUUGGGCUUUUAACAAUAUUAUGAUCCAAAGUCCAAACAGAAGAUUAUCUCCCUUGGUCCUUUGUCUAUAUUUUGGGUUAUUUAGGAGGGAAAUAGGAGAGCUUUUGAGAAUUCUUACUCAUCUUUUGCUGAGAUUGUAAAUUACUGGUUGGAGACUUUUAAAUAAUACGCUCAAAGGCAACCCCAUUCAAGAUGGGAUUUUGAUGUUGUCAAUAUUUUGGUUCUCUCUACUAGAUUUGUUGAUAGGUUUUGUAUUAGAGUGACCCCUUUGGUGCCUUUUUCGAUGAAUGAGUUUCUUCUCUCUGAUAAAAAAUGCCUGUGUUCUUAAGUUGCAGCUGCUAAGGACUAUUGUUCUUUUCUGCAGUUACCUGCAGCUCCGCCACCGCCACCGUUUCCCGAAGGGUACAUUCCCCCAACAGCAGCCGAAGCAGAGAAAGGCACUGAAAGCCAACAAGCAGGAGAGUCACAGUCUUCUGUUGAUCCCAUCAUCGAUCAAGGUCCAGCUAAGAGAAUGAAGUAUUGAUGUCUUAACAUCAUUUUUCGUUUAAUAUGUUGUUAAAAGAGGUACAUCAUUUUUGUGGGAGAAACAAAAUAGUUAUGGACUAUAUAAUAACACAGCUUUUAAAUUUCAGUAUUUUGGUAGUUAGGUUGUGGACGGCUGUACUUGAUUAAUGUGUGCAAACAAAAUAUGGGGCAUUUUCUGAAAGAUAUACACUACACUAAACUGAUCAAUUUUUGAUGAAGAACUGUUUGUUGAAGCGUAGAACCAGAGCAUAAGGCGUGUGUUUUGGUGGAUUCAACCUCUUUUGGUACAUGUAAGUGUUGGAUAGACCAACCUGCAGGAUUUGAAAUUUUAGAGUACAACGGUUGAUGCGAGAUAAGGCAUAAUUGACUUUCAAACCAUAUAGUAUUAAAAAGAGUCGUUUAAUGAGUAGGGGUAAAAAUUUUGGAGUUUCCAUAAACAUCUAUGUAUCUCUCUAGAUGUAAACUAUAAGAGUUAAAAUAUGAUUUUAAGGAU
rnacentral:lncRNA from 1 species